rnacentral:tRNA from 1 species
GGCGGGGUAGCUCAGCUAGGUAGAGCGCCCGGCUGUUAACCGGGCGGUCGUGGGUUCGAGUCCCACCCCCGCCGCCA